rnacentral:rRNA from 1 species
CUUCCAGCUCCAAUAGCGUAUAUUAAAGUUGUUGCAGUUAAAACGCUCGUAGUCUGAGGUGGUGCAUGUGGAGGUGAGGGUGCGAGAAAUUGCACUUUUGGCUUUGCAGCGCUUUUUUGUCACAGCAAUGUGACAAGGUUACUUUGAGGAAAUUAGGGUGUUCAAAGCAGGCGUUUGCUUGGAUACUGCAGCAUGGAAUAACGGAAUAGGGCUUGCCGUCUUAUUUUGUUGGUUUGGAGGGGCGAGUAAUGAUUAAUAGGGGCGGUUGGGGGCAUUGGUAUUUGGUAGCUAGAGGUGAAAUUCUUGGAUUUACCAAAGACUAACUAGUGCGAAAGCAUUUGCCAAGGAUGUUUUCAUUGAUCAAGAACGAAAGUUAGGGGAUCGAAGACGAUUAGAUACCGUCGUAGUCUUAACCAUAAACGAUGCCGACUGGGGAUCAGCAGGGGACGCAUUGACGUUCCUGUUGGGACCUUUCGAGAAAUCAAAGUUUUUGGGUUCUGGGGGGAGUAUGGUCGCAAGGCUGAAACUUAAAGGAAUUGACGGAAGGGCACCACCAGGAGUGGAGCCUGCGGCUUAAUUCGACUCAACAAGG